rnacentral:rRNA from 1 species
GAUGAACGCUAGCGGCAGGCUUAACACAUGCAAGUCGAGGGGUAGAGGUUGCUUGCAACCUUGAGACCGGCGCACGGGUGCGUAACGCGUAUGCAACCUACCUUUUACAGAGGGAUAGCCCAGAGAAAUUUGGAUUAAUACCUCAUAGUAUAUAACCUUCGCAUGUUGGUUAUAUUAAAGUUUCAACGGUAAAAGAUGGGCAUGCGUCCUAUUAGCUAGAUGGUAAGGUAACGGCUUACCAUGGAAACGAUAGGUAGGGGUCCUGAGAGGGAGAUCCCCCACACUGGUACUGAGACACGGACCAGACUCCUACGGGAGGCAGCAGUGAGGAAUAUUGGACAAUGGGCGCAAGCCUGAUCCAGCCAUGCCGCGUGCAGGAAGAAGCAUCUAUGGUGUGUAAACUGCUUUUGUACAGGAAUAAACACCCCGACGUGUCGGGACUUGACGGUACUGUAAGAAUAAGGAUCGGCUAACUCCGUGCCAGCAGCCGCCGUAAAAC